CCCUUAGAUGUUCUGGGCCGCACGCGCGCUACACUGAUGCAUUCAACGAGUUCUUCCUGGUCCGAGAGGAAUGGGUAACCUUUUGAAAGUGCAUCGUGCUAGGGAUAGACUAUUGCAAUUAUUGGUCUUCAACGAGGAAUUCCUAGUAGACGUAGUUCAUCAGACUGCAUCGAUUACGUCCCUGCCCUUUGUACACACCGCCCGUCGCUCCUACCGAUUGGAUAAUCCGGUGAGCUAUUCGGACCUGUGCAUUUUCCAUUGGAACUUGCGUGGGAAAGUCUCGCGAACCUUAUCAUCUAGAGGAGGGAGAAGUCGUAACA
rnacentral:rRNA from 1 species